GCGAUUCCCAGCACCACAUAUAAAUAAAUAAAAUAAAGAUCCAUUGAGAACUAAAAUGUUUUUUUUAAAAAAUGUAAUUCAGAGGGAAGGUGUGGGAUUCAUAAGCAAAGAUAAUUUCUAUAUUGAGAAGAGUGAUGACUAAAUAAGAGUAUCUGAACAUAGAAAUUGAUUUAACAGGCCAGUAAAUUUAUAUUAUUGACUCUAAACGUGUCAAUUUUAAAUGUAGAACAUUUAAAUAUAAAGUGUGUGUGUGUGUGUGUGUGUGUAACUGAGUAGAGCACUUGCAUAGCAUGUGCAAGUCCCUAGUUUCAAUCUCUAGUAUCUCCCCCCAUUCAUUUACAAAUAAUGACCCCAGUACAGGUUAACAUAACGUUUUGAUGAAAAAUAACCUUUUCCAGACAGAUUUUAUGAGUGUCAUUAUUUGUGCAAUUUUACAAAUAUAACGUUUGACAAGAGAAAUCAACUGGACUCUCAUAUGCUUCUGUCUUCAAUCUGUCACAGUAUGUUUUCUGGGUUGCAGUAUGUGAAGAAAAUCUAGCCUUACAAAGAUAAGUAGUUGGAAAAAAGGAGUCUUGUAAUAGCCUUUUUGCUUGAAAGCUUAACUGUGUGUGUGUGUGUGUGUGUGUGUGAGAGAGAGAGAGAGAGAGAGAGAGAGAGAGAGAGAGAGAGAGAGAGAGAGAAAUACUGAGUUGUUUUCCUUGAAGUGGCAGUCUCAUUUCUUUUUGCGGAUAUGUCCAGCCAAAUACCCACUUCUGUAGACUAACGAUUGGUCUAUCAGUUGUUCUUUCAAAUAAAAAUGGUGUUUCAUGAAGAAGUGGCUGGUUCAACUCAGUUUAUAGAAUUGCACAUGUGUUUUUCCACAAGACAACCAUUGUACUUUGUGUACAAAAAUGCUUUAUAUAUGCCCCUCAUAUCACUCAGAAUUUUUAAAAGAUGUGUAUCCAUGAGUCAGGAUUUAAAAACAAUAUUUACUACUUUAUC
rnacentral:lncRNA from 1 species